GGGUUGUGAGGUUAAGCGACUAAGCGUACACGGUGGAUGCCCUGGCAGUCAGAGGCGAUGAAGGACGUGCUAAUCUGCGAAAAGCGUCGGUAAGGUGAUAUGAACCGUUAUAACCGGCGAUGUCCGAAUGGGGAAACCCAGUGUGAUUCGUCACACUAUCGUUAACUGAAUACAUAGGUUAACGAGGCGAACCGGGGGAACUGAAACAUCUAAGUACCCCGAGGAAAAGAAAUCAACCGAGAUUCCCCCAGUAGCGGCGAGCGAACGGGGAGCAGCCCAGAGUCUGAAUCAGCUUGUGUGUUAGUGGAACGGUCUGGAAAGUCCGACGGUACAGGGUGAUAGUCCCGUACACCAAAAUGCACAGGUUGUGAACUCGAAGAGUAGGGCGGGACACGUGGUAUCCUGUCUGAAUAUGGGGGGACCAUCCUCCAAGGCUAAAUACUCCUGACUGACCGAUAGUGAACCAGUACCGUGAGGGAAAGGCGAAAAGAACCCCGGCGAGGGGAGUGAAAAAGAACCUGAAACCGUGUACGUACAAGCAGUGGGAGCACCUUCGGGUGUGACUGCGUACCUUUUGUAUAAUGGGUCAGCGACUUAUAUUCUGUAGCAAGGUUAACCGUAUAGGGGAGCCGCAGGGAAACCGAGUCUUAACUGGGCGUUAAGUUGCAGGGUAUAGACCCGAAACCCGGUGAUCUAGCCAUGGGCAGGUUGAAGGUUGGGUAACACUAACUGGAGGACCGAACCGACUAAUGUUGAAAAAUUAGCGGAUGACUUGUGGCUGGGGGUGAAAGGCCAAUCAAACCGGGAGAUAGCUGGUUCUCCCCGAAAGCUAUUUAGGUAGCGCCUCGUGAAUUCAUCUUCGGGGGUAGAGCACUGUUUCGGCUAGGGGGUCAUCCCGACUUACCAACCCGAUGCAAACUACGAAUACCGAAGAAUGUUAUCACGGGAGACACACGGCGGGUGCUAACGUCCGUCGUGAAGAGGGAAACAACCCAGACCGCCAGCUAAGGUCCCAAAGUCAUGGUUAAGUGGGAAACGAUGUGGGAAGGCACAGACAGCCAGGAUGUUGGCUUAGAAGCAGCCAUCAUUUAAAGAAAGCGUAAUAGCUCACUGGUCGAGUCGGCCUGCGCGGAAGAUGUAACGGGGCUAAACCAUGCACCGAAGCUGCGGCAGCGACACUAUGUGUUGUUGGGUAGGGGAGCGUUCUGUAAGCCUGCGAAGGUGACCUGUGAGGGUUGCUGGAGGUAUCAGAAGUGCGAAUGCUGACAUAAGUAACGAUAAAGCGGGUGAAAAGCCCGCUCGCCGGAAGACCAAGGGUUCCUGUCCAACGUUAAUCGGGGCAGGGUGAGUCGACCCCUAAGGCGAGGCCGAAAGGCGUAGUCGAUGGGAAACAGGUUAAUAUUCCUGUACUUGGUGUUACUGCGAAGGGGGGACGGAGAAGGCUAUGUUAGCCGGGCGACGGUUGUCCCGGUUUAAGCAUGUAGGCUGGUUGUCCAGGCAAAUCCGGAUAAUCAAGGCUGAGGUGUGAUGACGAGGCACUACGGUGCUGAAGUAACAAAUGCCCUGCUUCCAGGAAAAGCCUCUAAGCAUCAGGUAACAUUAAAUCGUACCCCAAACCGACACAGGUGGUCAGGUAGAGAAUACCAAGGCGCUUGAGAGAACUCGGGUGAAGGAACUAGGCAAAAUGGUGCCGUAACUUCGGGAGAAGGCACGCUGGUGUGUAGGUGAAGUCCCUGCGGAUGGAGCUGAGACCAGUCGAAGAUACCAGCUGGCUGCAACUGUUUAUUAAAAACACAGCACUGUGCAAACACGAAAGUGGACGUAUACGGUGUGACGCCUGCCCGGUGCCGGAAGGUUAAUUGAUGGGGUUAUCCGUAAGGAGAAGCUCUUGAUCGAAGCCCCGGUAAACGGCGGCCGUAACUAUAACGGUCCUAAGGUAGCGAAAUUCCUUGUCGGGUAAGUUCCGACCUGCACGAAUGGCGUAAUGAUGGCCAGGCUGUCUCCACCCGAGACUCAGUGAAAUUGAACUCGCUGUGAAGAUGCAGUGUACCCGCGGCAAGACGGAAAGACCCCGUGAACCUUUACUAUAGCUUGACACUGAACAUUGAGCCUUGAUGUGUAGGAUAGGUGGGAGGCUUUGAAGCGUGGACGCCAGUCUGCGUGGAGCCAACCUUGAAAUACCACCCUUUAAUGUUUGAUGUUCUAACGUUGGCCCCUUACCGGGGUUGCGGACAGUGUCUGGUGGGUAGUUUGACUGGGGCGGUCUCCUCCCAAAGCGUAACGGAGGAGCACGAAGGUUAGCUAAUCCUGGUCGGACAUCAGGAGGUUAGUGCAAUGGCAUAAGCUAGCUUGACUGCGAGCGUGACGGCGCGAGCAGGUGCGAAAGCAGGUCAUAGUGAUCCGGUGGUUCUGAAUGGAAGGGCCAUCGCUCAACGGAUAAAAGGUACUCCGGGGAUAACAGGCUGAUACCGCCCAAGAGUUCAUAUCGACGGCGGUGUUUGGCACCUCGAUGUCGGCUCAUCACAUCCUGGGGCUGAAGUAGGUCCCAAGGGUAUGGCUGUUCGCCAUUUAAAGUGGUACGCGAGCUGGGUUUAGAACGUCGUGAGACAGUUCGGUCCCUAUCUGCCGUGGGCGCUGGAGAAUUGAGGGGGGCUGCUCCUAGUACGAGAGGACCGGAGUGGACGCAUCACUGGUGUUCGGGUUGUCAUGCCAAUGGCACUGCCCGGUAGCUAAAUGCGGAAGAGAUAAGUGCUGAAAGCAUCUAAGCACGAAACUUGCCCCGAGAUGAGUUCUCCCUGAGACUUUAAGUCUCCUGAAGGAACGUUGAAGACGACGACGUUGAUAGGCCGGGUGUGUAAGCGCAGCGAUGCGUUGAGCUAACCGGUACUAAUGAACCGUGAGGCUUAACCUUACAACGCCGAAG
rnacentral:rRNA from 2 species